CCUACGGGAGGCAGCAGUGGGGAAUAUUGCGCAAUGGGCGAAAGCCUGACGCAGCGAAGCCGCGUGAGGGAUGAAGGUCCUCGGAUCGGAAACCCCUGUCAGCAGGGAAGCACGGUCACUGUGCUAAUCAGCAGUGAAUUGACGGUACCUGCAAAGGAAGCACCGGCUAACUCCGGGCCAGCAGCCUCGGUAAUACGGAGGGUGCGGGCGUUAAUCGGAAUUACUGGGCGUAAAGCGCUCGUAGGCGGUAUGUCAAGUCAAGGGUGAAAUCCCCGCGCUCAACGUGGGAACUGCCUUUGAAACUGGCAAACUGGAGUGUGUGAGAGGAUAGUGGAAUUCGAGGUGUAGGAGUGAAAUCCUUAGAUAUCUGGAGGAACAUCAGUGGCGAAGGCGACUAUCUGGCACAUAACUGACGCUGAGGAGCGAAAGCGUGGGUAACAAACAGGAUUAGAUACCCCAGUAGUC
rnacentral:rRNA from 1 species